UGUUUAGGCUACACAGCUGCCAUACUGGCUUUACAAACUAACCCCAUGCAUUUCUAUGGAUGCUGUGUCUCCCCAUUAGAAAGUCUCUGGGCUACAAUGCAAAAGUCCUGAGAAAUACCGUCACAUACAAUGUUUAUGUUGUAAUGUUUGUUUACACUGUAUACAUUCAAAUAUUAUUUUUGCAAUCAGUACAAAUUGUAUGGUCUUUUAUUUCAGAUGACUCCGGUCCUCAAGCAAGAAGUCCUAUUCCUACCAUGGAACUACUGACCCUCAGCCUGCUGCUUAUCAUGGGACUGUUCUGAUGGGUUUGUCUCUUCCUGCCUUUUUUCAGGUCAGUAGACAUCACUGCCUCCACCACCUGCAUAUGAGUCAACACCACACAGGAAACCAGCCGGUGGCCCAGAGCUGGAUGGGUGUAUUCUAACGCAAGCUCAGCCUGCCACUUCAUCUUGGGACCCAGUUGAAGCAACUUUUCCUGACAAGCCCGGAGGUUGGACCGGAGGUACUGCCAUGCGUCGCAUGCUACGGCGAGUCGCAACCAAUGAUGUUCUAAAACAGUAUAUCCUGCGGGGCAGAAAGGGAAAGAAGGCCUUCCAGGACCUGACUAUCUGCAGGGUUA